rnacentral:misc_RNA from 1 species
GUGAAUCAUCGAAUCUUUGAACGCACAUUGCACUCUCUGGUAUUCCGGAGAGUAUGCCUGUUUGAGGGUCAGUUUAAAUUACAAUCGGUGUGGUUGGUGCCUUUCUUGUUUAGGCUCUGGACUUGGGUCGUCUUGCCUUCGGUUGACUGACCUCAUAUUUUGCAUGAUUUUUUCGAACGUAUUUAAAUGAUUUUACGUACGUUUGCGAUCUCGAAUACUAGGUUCGGUCAUCUUCCUUAUCCGCGCGUAU